UCUCUGUUUUUGUGGAAGACAGAAAGAAGAGUAAUAAAAAAAAAGUAUUUCAUUUACCUAUAUGUAAUUCACGGAUAUUUUUCAAUGCAGGUUUAUCAAUAUACAGUCCGUGCUGGUUUCGUAUGUGACAAGGAGGCAAGCAAACAGUGGAGAACGGCAGUAGAUAUCAUGUAGAUAAGCAAGAAAGAAAAAUUAAGGACAAAAAGACAGACCAGUUUCUAAAAAUUCAGAUUGUGCACUUCAAAAUAAUACCAUAAAGGCUCAUCAUUUCAAUCCAUUAUUGAUUACACCUUGGGGACUUUCCACCGAUUCCACUUGAUGCUGCUUUUAAAAUGAAUUUUCUGGAGUCUACUCGGACACUGAUCUUUCCAUGGAAAUAACAGAAAAUUCCAAGAAAUGGAAGCCGCUCAUAGUAAAAGAAGGAAAGCUGAGUAUCAUCAGGGUUAAUAGCUCCUAUUUGAGAUCCAUGAAUGAUUACAGAGGUUUUUUCCUAAAUCGAACUUUCAAGAUUCAUUAAUAAUAUGCUGCCUCUCUGGGACAUAGGUGUGCUCAUGGUACGAAGGCUAUUUAUUCAUCGCAUGGA
rnacentral:lncRNA from 1 species